CGUUUCUUUAUUUUGAAGUCAGUGACUCCUGAGACUGCAUUGGGGACAACUUUUUUGCACAAUGACCAUAUUUUACCAUGCAGCGCACUUCAGAAAAUUAUAAAAGUUUACAAGUUUUAUCGCUUCUGGAAACACCUGGGCAGCAUCCCUAUUAUCCCGCCACGUGGCUCUAGCCUUGUUGAUGUACCUGUUACUUUCUCCCACUGCAACAUUUUUGUUAAUGUCUGUGGCUUCUUUCUGCAGAAGAGUUCCUCCUCCUGACAUGCACUUCAUUCUCUGCUUUUCUAUGUCUUGACAACUCUCUUAUGGUAGUCAUUUUCUUAUACUGUAGCCCCCUGGUAUUUAUGUACUGUGUGGUAUUAAUAUUUAUACUUCCAGGUUCACAUCUUUUAUGAACUGUGCAUCUGUUGGGAUUGUGGACAGGAGUAGGAAACCAAAUAAAAGGGUUUUUUAAAAAAGUCAGUUUUCUCCGUUUGUAAGGGAAACUUGUUUCCCUGACCACCCUGGAGCAAAAUUUGCCAUUUUAAGAUAACACAGUCCGAGAGAAAGUCCUGCACCAUGCCUUUCCCCUUUUCCCAUAUUUCCCAGCAUGCUAUGAGCUGAUGAAUAAACAGACUUUGUCCUAUUUUCGUUGUAUCUAUAAAAUAUACAUAAUGUAUUCCCAUAAUUAUCAGACCUCUCACAGUCACUAUUGGUAAAAUUAUUGGGUUACAGGUUUCUUGCUGUAAAACACAAAAAUAGGUCAUAUUUUUAU
rnacentral:misc_RNA from 1 species